AGCAGCCGCGGUAAUUCCAGCUCCAAUAGCGUAUAUUAAAGUUGUUGCAGUUAAAAAGCUCGUAGUUGAAUUUCGGGAUCAGUGGGUCGGUCGUGCCACUGGUAUGCACUGGCCCUACUGGUUCCUCCUUCUUGAAGAACUGUAAUGCCAUUAAUUUGGUGUUGCAGGGAAACAGGACUGUUACUUUGAAAAAAUUAGAGUGUUUAAAGCAGGCAAUCGCUUGAAUACAUUAGCAUGGAAUAAUGAAAUAGGACGAUCGAUCCUAUUUUGUUGGUUUCUAGGAUUGACGUAAUGAUUAAUAGGGAUAGUUGGGGGCAUUAGUAUUCAAUUGUCAGAGGUGAAAUUCUUGGAUUUAUUGAAGACUAACUACUGCGAAAGCAUUUGCCAAGGAUGUUUUCAUUAAUCAAGAACGAAAGUUAGGGGAUCGAAGACGAUCAGAUACCGUCGUAGUCUUAACCAUAAACUAUAGCCGACUAGGGAUCGGGUGAUGUAAUUUUUAAUGACUCAUUCGGCGUCCG
rnacentral:rRNA from 1 species